rnacentral:rRNA from 1 species
UGGGAAUAUUGCACAAUGGGGGAAACCCUGAUGCAGCGACGCCGCGUGAGCGAAGAAGGUUUUCGAAUCGUAAAGCUCUGUCCUAUGAGAAGAUAAUGACGGUAUCAUAGGAGGAAGCCCCGGCUAAAUACGUGCCAGCAGCCGCGGUAAUACGUAUGGGGCGAGCGUUGUCCGGAAUUAUUGGGCGUAAAGGGUACGUAGGCGGUCUAUUAAGUCAGGUGUGAAAGCGUGAGGCUUAACCUCAUUAAGCACUUGAAACUGAUAGACUUGAGUGAAGGAGAGGAAAGUGGAAUUCCUAGUGUAGCGGUGAAAUGCGUAGAUAUUAGGAGGAAUACCGGUGGCGAAGGCGACUUUCUGGACUUUUACUGACGCUCAGGUACGAAAGCGUGGGGAGCAAACAGG